UCAGCCCUCACUCACCCCCUUCCCCCAACACCCCCUGUUCGUGAAUCACUAUCUCUGAACUCAAGCAAAGUUCAAAAUCACCCAACCAAAACCCUAAGUUCUCCCUGCAACGGUUCUGAGACAGUGCUGCCGCCGUCCGUGCUGUCGGCGCCUCCGCUCCUCUCUUGUAGCCCAGGCCCUCUCUUGUAGCUCGGCGUCCUCCUUCCCGCUGUCCCCGUCCUCCCUGGCUUCUCUGUUCGAGGUUGGAGUAGCUCGCCGCCGUGUCGCCGCUCGCCGUUCGUGUUUCCACCGAAGAACUGAGAAGGAAAAUGGCAAUCAAAAGGAUUUCCACAGCGUCAGCGCGUGCUCACACUCGCAGGAACAAGAAAACUAACUCUUUUUCUGCCCUCUGGGAGUUGAACAAUUUCGACAAGCUUUGGAUAUUUCAUUACAAUGUGUGCUUGCACAAUAUGAACUUGCUUUUGGGACUCCUUUGUUUAGCAAAAGAUUGCAUGAACUUGGGACCAUUUAUGUGGGAGGCUUCUUUGUUAGAGGAAGCAUCUGAGGUUGCAAGAGCAAGUGCUUAUUCUGUUAGGAAUGUCUCAUGUAUUGGGAAAUUAUAUGUUGAUGUUCAGGUAUCAUUUGUUUUGUUAGUAUUAAAAGGAUUUCUUUGUUUUCGAAAUUGAGCAAUGCUAGGGGGCCAGCAAUUUUUGUGAUUGUUAGCCAUCAACUAGCCAUCAAUGAUGAUUUGAUGGUGUGAGAUUGGUGUGAGAUUUCAUCUAAUGGCCCACCUUCCUCUGCUGGUUACAUGCUGGCCAAAAUUCAACAAAACCGCUGGUCCCCUAGACUUUUCCUUCGAAAUUUUAUAUUUUCAGGCAUAUGUUGGUGUCAUGGCAUGGACGUGGAUCUUCUUCUCUGAGGCCAAUUCUCCUUGAAGAUUGAGUGUGCCUUAAAUGCUCCAUUAAAGAGUUGUGUAAGACAUGAUUCAGGAACUAGAUAAGAACAUUCAGAAAAUAUACUGCAGCAUUGCUAUCGGUUGCAUUGCUGAGGCUUGCUUGGAUUGACCGACUACCCUUGCCAGAUAUAUGAAAAGUAGUAUGAAAGAACAAAGAAGUUUACAUGUCAAAGAUAGGUAGUUAAUGCAGUUAUGCGUAUUUCAGUUUAUAUGUUUAUGCCUAGCUAUGAAGAUGGAAACUAAUAAGCUAAAGCCUUAUUUCGGUUGUCAAACCCGUGAGUUGUAAUUAUUGAACCAAAUAAUUUCGACAAUUGCAAUUUGAUUUUGAAAAUUGCAUCAGACAUUAAUACUACUAUUUUUCAUAAGUCAAAAGUAAAAAAAAAGUUACUUCUAAAGUUUUCCAAACGGGCUCUAAGAGCUAUAAUACCAGGAAGUUCAUUACCACGGAGGUAUGACCUUCUUUAUAAAGCAGCCCGCGGGUAUGUGCGAGUCAUACACUAGUUGCAU